UCCAGGCAGUUUGAGUUCACCUCUUAAGUCUGUUUUUCCAUAAGGAGCUUGGCUUGUCCAUUCGUUGGAAUUAUAAGAAAACUUGCUCUAAAAGGAUGUCAGCACAGGAGGUUGGUGUGGUGUUCAUUUGACCUUUUGCAAUUAAAACGUGGAGUGAAAACCAACACCACGCACUAAAUAUGGCAAGGAGCAGUUUGGAGACGAUAUGGACUCGAAUCCAACUCGUGACAUGAUCUCCCAUGACGGUGGGCCUUGCAUGUUGAGACCUGGAACCAGGCAACUUUUGUCGAUACCGGAUGGAGUCGCGAUGUGAGAAGAACCUA